UCAAGUUAUUAAGGGUGCAGGGCGGAUGCCUUGGCACUAGGAGCCGAUGAAGGACGUGAUAAGCUGCGAUAAGCUUCGGGGAGUUGCACGUAAACUUUGAUCCGAAGAUUUCCGAAUGAGGAAACUCACUUAGAGUAAUGUCUAAGUAUCAUUAAGUGAAUACAUAGCUUAAUGAGGGGAACUCAGGGAACUGAAACAUCUAAGUACCUGAAGGAAGAGAAAGAAAUUCGAUUCCGUAAGUAGCGGCGAGCGAACGCGGAUUAGCCCAAACCAAUAAAGUUUUCUUUAUUGGGGUUGCGGACAUAUCAUAACGAAGAGGUAUCGUAAUUGAAGAGGUUUGGAAAGACCCACCACAGAAGGUAAUAGUCCUGUAUGUUAAACGAGAAGACUUCAGAUAUGAUCCAGAGUACCACGGGACACGUGAAACCCUGUGGGAAGCAGGAGGGACCACCCUCCAAGGCUAAAUACUACCUAGUGACCGAUAGUGUAUAGUACCGUGAGGGAAAGGUGAAAAGAACCCCGGGAGGGGAGUGAAAUAGAACCUGAAACCCUGCACUUACAAGCUGUGGAAGCACAUUUCUUGUGUGACCGCGUACUUUUUGUAGAACGGGCCAACGAGUUACGUUAAGUAGCAAGGUUAAGCACUUAAGGUGUGGAGCCGUAGCGAAAGCGAGUUUUAACUGAGCGUUCAGUUACUUGACGUAGACCCGAAACCGGGCGACCUACCCAUGAGCAGGAUGAAGCGAAAGUAAAAUUUCGUGGAGGUCCGAACCCACGAGCGUUGAAAAGCUCGGGGAUGACUUGUGGGUAGCGGUGAAAUUCCAAUCGAGCCCGGAGAUAGCUGGUUCUCCCCGAAAUAGCUUUAGGGCUAGCCUCAAGGUGAGAGAUACGGAGGUAGAGCACUGAAUGUCCUAGGGGGUAUUGCACCUACCGAAGACUAUCAAACUCCGAAUGCCGUCAUCUUAUACUUGGGAGUCAGACUGUGGGUGAUAAGAUUCAUAGUCGAAAGGGCAACAGCCCAGAUCGUCAGCUAAGGUCCCUAAAUGUAAGUUAAGUGGUAAAGGAUGUGGGAUUGCACAGACAACCAGGAUGUUGGCUUAGAAGCAGCCACUCAUUCAAAGAGUGCGUAAUAGCUCACUGGUCGAGUGAUCCUGCGCCGAAGAUUUCCGGGGCUAAAACUUACUACCGAAGCUACGGCAUCAGUAAUGAUGGGUAGGGGAGCUUCCCAUACGGGUUGAAGCAUGACCGUAAGGACAUGUGGACAGUAUGGGAGUGAGAAUGUUGGCAUGAGUAGCGAGAUGUGGGUGAGAAUCCCACAGGCCGUAAACCCAAGGUUUCCAGGGGAAGGUUCGUCCGCCCUGGGUUAGUCGGGACCUAAGCUGAGGCCGAAAGGCGUAGGUGAUGGACAACAGGUUGAUAUUCCUGUACUACCGAUAACCGUUUGAGAGAAGGGAUGACACAGUAGGAUAAGCUAAGCACACUGUUGGUUAUGUGUGCCCAAGCAUUGAGGCAGUCAAAGUAGGCAAAUCCGCUUUGAUAAUGCUGGGAUGUGAUGGGGAGCGAAAUUUAGUAGCGAAGUAGCUGAUUUCACACUGUCAAGAAAAGUCUCUAUCGAGGUUAAAGGUACCCGUACCGCAAACCGACACAGGUGGGUGAGGAGAGUAUCCUAAGGCCAGCGAGAGAACUGUUGUUAAGGAACUCGGCAAAAUGACCCCGUAACUUAGGGAUAAGUGGUGCCACCAUCAGGUGGCCGCAGAGAAUAGGCCCAAGCGACUGUUUACCAAAAACAUAGGUUUCUGCUAAGUCGCAAGACGAUGUAUAGGAGCUGACGCCUGCCCGGUGCUGGAAGGUUAAGGGGAUCUGUUAGAGCAAUCGAAGCAGUGAACUUAAGCCCCAGUAAACGGCGGCCGUAACUAUAACGGUCCUAAGGUAGCGAAAUUCCUUGUCGGGUAAGUUCCGACCCGCACGAAAGGCGUAACGAUUUGGGCACUGUCUCAACAACAGACUCGGUGAAAUUGUAAUUCCGGUGAAGAUGCCGGAUACCUGCGACAGGACGGAAAGACCCCAUGGAGCUUUACUGUAGCUUGACAUUGGGUCUUGGUACUACAUGUACAGGAUAGGUGGGAGGCUUUGAAACCAGGACGCCAGUUUUGGCGGAGCCAUCCUUGGGAUACCACCCUUGUAGUACUGGGACUCUAACCAUAGGCCAUGAAUCUGGUCUUGGGACACUGUCAGGUGGGCAGUUUGACUGGGGCGGUCGCCUCCCAAAAGGUAACGGAGGCGCUCAAAGGUUCUCUCAGUACGGUCGGAAAUCGUACGUAGAGUGUAAAGGCAAAAGAGAGCUUGAUUGCAAGACAUACAGGUCGAGCAAGGAUGAAAAUCGGACUUAGUGAUCCGGUGGUUCUGCGUGGAAGGGCCAUCGCUCAACGGAUAAAAGCUACCCUGGGGAUAACAGGCUUAUCUCCCCCAAGAGUCCACAUCGACGGGGAGGUUUGGCACCUCGAUGUCGGCUCAUCACAUCCUGGGGCUGUAGUAGGUCCCAAGGGUUGGGCUGUUCGCCCAUUAAAGUGGUACGCGAGCUGGGUUCAGAACGUCGUGAGACAGUUCGGUCCCUAUCCGUCGCAGGCGUAGGAAAUUUGAGAAGACCUGUCCUUAGUACGAGAGGACCGGGAUGGACGUACCUCUGGUGUACCAGUUGUUCUGCCAAGGGCAUGGCUGGGUAGCUAUGUACGGAAUGGAUAAGCGCUGAAAGCAUCUAAGCGCGAAGCCAACUUCAAGAUAAGAUUUCCCACCGCAAGGGUAAGACCCCAGAAAGACUAUCUGGUUGAUAGGUCGAAGGUGUAAGUGCAGCAAUGUAUUUAGCUUAUCGAUACUAAUAGGUCGAGGACUUGACCAA
rnacentral:rRNA from 1 species